CGAUAUCGACAUCUUUACCAAUACAGGCUAUCAGUUUUACCAGUGUAUCAGGCAUGUUAUUUUGUAGUCCGAUAGACCAAUACAGGCUAUCAGUUUUAUUAG
rnacentral:lncRNA from 1 species